AUGUACGCAGUCAUUGAAAUGUUUAAUGAAAAGAAGGAAUAUGAAUGCAGUGUUUCAACAUCUAAGAAGCUGCCGCAAAGACGAAGGGGUCACCCUAUUCUCCAAAGGUCACUUUCUGAGGUGCAACUUGUGUCAUCGGGGCCAGGAACUGUAAGACCAGGGCAAAAUCUCAACUUGGUCUGUAAAGUUACUGGUGUCUCCAUCACGAGUAGUAGCUAUCGUUGGCACUGGGUCCGUCAGCCUCCAGGGAAAGGCUUAGAAUGGAUUGGUAGAAUCUACGUCUAUGAUGGCAGCAAACGGUACUCACCUUCUCUUCAAAGCCGCACCACCAUUGCUUCAGACAACUCCAAGAAUGAAUAUUCCCUUCAGUUGAACUCCAUGUCAGCUUCUGACACUGCCGUGUAUUAUUGUGCCAGUGAUACACACUGA